UAAGGAAUAUUGGACAAUGGGCGGAAGCCUGAUCCAGCCAUGCCGCGUGAAGGAUGAAGGCGCUCUGCGUUGUAAACUUCUUUUGGACGGGAACAAUAACUUCGAUGCGUCGGAGCUUGAGGGUACCGUCAGAAUAAGCACCGGCUAACUCCGUGCCAGCAGCCGCGGUAAUACGGAGGGUGCAAGCGUUAUCCGGAAUCACUGGGUUUAAAGGGUGCGUAGGCGGUCUGAUAAGUCAGUCGUGAAAUCGCUGGGCUUAACCUUUGCAACUGCGAUUGAUACUGUUAGACUUGAAUAAGAUUGAGGCAGGCGGAAUGUGGCAUGUAGCGGUGAAAUGCUUAGAUAUGCCAUAGAACACCAAUUGCGAAGGCAGCCUGCUGGGCCUUUAUUGACGCUGAGG
rnacentral:rRNA from 1 species